CUUGCCUGCAGAAGGUCCCACGUUCCCUCCCUGGCAGCAGCAUCGCCAAGACAAGGCUGGGAGAGACUCCUGCCUGCAGGGCAGCCUUGGAGAAGCCGCCGCUGCCCGUCUGGGUAGACGGCGCUGAGCUAGGUGGAGCAAGGGGCUGACUCGGUCGUCUACGGCAGCUGCCUCUGCUCUUAAAGAUCCCUGCCCCGCACUCGCGAGCCUUAAGCACCUCCAGAGCUGCCUUCACGACGAGUCACUGGGAGGGUAUCCUGCGGGUUGGGGGGGGGCGGAAUCCAUCAUCCAGGCCAGUCCCAGAGGAUUGGCAGCCCGAGCUGGCAGCAGCCAAAGAUCCUUGCCCCCCCUCCGACUGCGACAUGCUGCUGCCAGCUGAGUAUAGACAAUACGCAGCGAAGCGGACCAAGGGCCUGACUCGGCAGAAGGAACGUGCCUGCCAUUGCUCGACUUUUAAAAAAGAACCACAACAGAAAAGCCUCAGGAGAAUGUGCAACCCUUUAUAGAAUAACUGGAGCAGAGUGCAGAGCACGAUACAGAGAAGGAGAGAUCGUUUUUUUAAAAACCACACGCUCUCCCUUUGCACCCGCCCCCCACUUGGUGCCUUCAUUCCUGGGGGCUCUCUUCUGCAGUGGGGUGGGGGGUGGGAGUUCGGAAGCUGCCAGGCUAUCCAAAACGGCAUAGAGGCUUCAGGGCGGGCCACUGGGCGUGCUCAGCCGCCGGUACAGACAUGCGCAGAGCCGCAAAGCCUCGGCGGGGGAAUUCUGGCGGGCUUUCUGCGCUCCUCCCCGCGUGCCCCUGGGAGCCGACCCCACUCCUCUGAUUGGUUGGCGGGGUGACAGGCGCAUCACUGAUUGGCGAGCAGCUGGACAGCGGGCUCCGCCUCCCGCAGCUGAAGCUCGCGACGCCUUGAGCGCGCUACGUUUGAUGGAGAAAUAAUUUGAGACGCCUGAGGCGGCAAGAGCCGCACGAGGAGGAAGACCAGCAGGGCCGAGAAGGAGAAGCUCACCUCAGGGAACCAGGGGGCCUCACGCCCCACACUGCAGCAGGGGGGCCAGGGCUGGGGAGGAGAGGCCCUCCUCAGGGAACUAGGGGGCUUCACGCCCCACAUUGCCCCUACUUGGCUGCUGAGGAAGGCCAACCACAAGCCUCUAAGGGGCAGAGAAAUGCUCUGAGGGAAGGAUGUCUCCCAGACAGGGCAAGGAAGGGCUCUAUGCCUAGCAGUGGCUUUUACCUCAGCAGUUUAGUGAGAAUAAUUAAUAAAUAGGCAUGGAGAAAAAGCUGUCUCUAAGCUUGCUUCUAAUCCUCUGGGGGAAGGGCUCUGUGCCCACCUUUAGCUCACAGGCAAAAAUUCUCUGAGGGGAGGCUCUCUCCAGGACAGGGCAAGGAAGGGCUCUAUGCCCAGCCUUGGCUUUUACCUCACCAAAAUAAUGAUAAUAAAUCUCUGUUGCUUCAGAAAAAGGAGGAGGAAACCACUCCAGCCAUGCUACUCAGCCAGGAUAUAGCUUUUUAAAAGAAUGCUUUGUGGGAGAGUGGUGGGAUUACGCUCUUCAAGACCCCUGCCAAAAACCAGUUUCUGAAGGGAAGGGAAGUUUCUGAGUGGGGAGUUCAUCUCUCUGCUUUGGCUUCAUCUUGUGCACACACACAAAAAAAAAACCUGAGGGGAAAGGAAGUUUCUGAGUGGGGAGUUCAUCUCCUAGCUUUGGCUUCAUCUUGUGCAAAAAAAAAAAAAAACCUGAGGGGAAAGGAAGUUUCUGAGUGGGGAGUUCAUCUCUCUGCUUUGGCUUCAUUUUGCCAAAAAAACUCAAACCCCUUUGGAGGAUGCUGCAGCCGUGCUGACGUGUGCAAAAGCCCUGCCACCUCACUGCCCACAUUUGUAGCAUUUGUCUGCAGAGGGCAACAUGCCACAGAUUCUCCCCGUCCUCAGAACACUGGGGCGCCACAGUCUUCUGCAUCACGGUGAAAAUCUGUCCACUCUUAGACCGUUCUUUCUCUGUGCAGACAAAUGCUAGAACUAUGGACCGCGUAGGGCAGGACUUCUGAGCGCAACGGCACAGGGGCUGUAGCAGAAAAUUCCCUGAAGCCAGGGGCUGCUGUGUAACUACAGACUGGCCCUUUUAGUCUGAGAAAACGGUGCGACUUGAGGCUGUCCAAAGAAACCUGAGGCUCCUUUAUUCUCCCAACAGCUGUGUAUGGCAGCAUAAUUCCUAAGAGAGUGGCUGGCUUGAAUGGAACACCCUCCCUGCGCAUUAAAAGUCUUAGUCUUCUAGAUACUCAGAACACUUUUCUGAGGCAGCAUAAUCUCUAAUUUUCAGGCAGGCUUGUAUGGAACAUGCUUCAGGCUUCUUAAUUCUCUCAAGAGAAGAGAGGGUUCUCUUUAUAUUUUCUCAAAUCCUUUUUAAUGAGUUCUAGCUUUUCAUAUUUGUGAAUGGCAUAGAGCUAUCUGGAUGAGGGGUAUAGACACUUAAUGAAAGAAUGAAUAAAUAAAACAGCUGUGGGAGUCAGCAUAAUCUCUAAAAUGGGGGCUGGCUUGUAUACAUGAUAGAAGCACCAGGAUGCUUUAUAACUGCCAACUUUAUAGGGAAGGAUAAUCUCAAAUUUAGCACCUAUCUUUAGCUGAACAUUGUUCAUGUGUGUUCUAUCCCCACAACAUUGCUUGGAGGACAAUUUAGCAAAAAGAAAUGGAGUUGGUGCAUGUGUCCCUACGACCCACAGGCUGGAGUGCUGCUCUUGGAGCAUUUUUUCCUCCCAAGGGGCCAACGUGGCAGAUUUCAAGAAACAACCGACAGAGGCGACAUCACAGAAGCCAAGAAGACGUGAAAGGAGCCAACGACACAGACACACAGGGCAAGCCAAACCAAACCACAACCCAGGGGCUGCGUAGAAGCUUCAGGCUUCUCUCUUGUCGCAAACAUCAUCAUCAUCACGCACUUUAUUUGUGAGCCACCCCAUAACAAAUAGUCCUCUGGGCAGCUCACAACACAACAUUGAAAAACUUCCAAUAAGAGCACAUACAACACGACAAACACAUCACAACACGAAACGGCAGCAUCUCUAAAAUGGUGGCUGCCUUGAAUGGAAGGGGCUUCAUGCCUCUUCAAGCAGCUUUGGGGGAAUUGCCAAGAACAGACACAAUACCAUAUAGAUGUUGUAUUCUGCCAUUUAGAGAACACGCUUCACGCGUGUUGAGAGCUUCAAGCUUCUUUAGUCCCGCAACACUUUUCUUGGGCUGCAUACACUCUAAGAUGGUGGCUGCCUUGAAUGGAAUUGUGUCCCCUCGACAACCCUGCGUGGCAAAGUGGGCCAGAAGAAACGGAGUCGGCGCGUGUGUCCCUACGAUCUCCAGGCCGGAGUGCAGCUCUUGGAGCAUUUGUUCCUCCCCAGGGGCCAACGUGGCAGAUUUCAAGAAACAACCGAUGGAGGCGACCACAAACCACAAACCAGGGGCUGCGUAGAAACUUCAGGCUUCUUUCUUGUCGCAAACAUCAUCAUCAUCAUGACACACUUUAUUUGUGAGCCACCCCGUAACAAAUAGUCCUCUGGGAGGCUCGCAACACAAAAUUGAAAAACGUCCAAUAAGAGCACAUACAACACGACAAACACAUCACAACACAAAACAGCAGCAUCUCUAAAAUGGUGGCUGCCUUGAAUGGAAGAGGCUUCAUGCCUCUUCAAGCAGCUUUGGGGGAAUUGCCAAGAACAGACACAAUACCAUAUAGAGGUUGUAUUCUGCCAUUUAGAGAACACGCUUCACGCGUGUUGGGAGCUUCAAGCUUCGCAACUCUUUUCUUGGGCUGCAUACACUCUAAGAUGGUGGCUGCCUUGAAUGGAAGAGGCUUCAUGCCUCUUCCAUUGUGUCCCCUUGACAAUCCUGCGUGGCAAACCGGGCCAGAAGAAACGGAGUCGGCGCGUGUGUCCCUAUGAUCCCUCUUGGAGCAUUUGUCCCUCUUGGAGCAUUUUCUCCUACCAAAGGGCCAACGUGGCAGAAUUCACAAAAGGCGGCAACCACACACAAGCCAAGGAAGGAGGAAAAGAGUCUCAUGGAAGAACCAAGAGGCAGCGACACACAAGCCACAAAGGAAUUAAAAGAGCCGACGACGAUGCACAAGAUAGCCAAAGCAAGGGCUGUGUUCCUCACUGCCCUGAAUGCUCUGUCAAUCCAGGGGCCAUCAGUAGAAACUUCAGGCUGCUUUGUUCUCUCACCACCUGUGGAAGGCAGCAUGAUCUCUCAUUCUGUGGCUGCCUGGAAUGAAACACGCUUCAUGUAUGUUACAAGCUUCAGGCAUCUUCAUUCUCCCAACAGCCUUGUCAAGCUGGAUAUCCUCUAAGAUGGUGACUGCCUUUAACAGGACACACUUCAUGUGUGCUGCAUGCUCAGCAGCCCUUUGUGGCAUGUUUGGAAAGAAGAAACAGAGUUGGCACACAUUUGCAAUGACCUCCAUGCCGGAGUGGUGAUUUUGGAAUGUUUUCUCCUCCCAAGAGACCUGUGUGGGAGGUAGGAUCAAAGACAGGAACUGGACCCAAGGUAAAGGGAUCCCACCCUCGUCAAAAAUAGAACUCCCAGGGUGGCGUAAGAGACAAUCGAAGAGGAACAAGACUAAUGCCUGCUAUGAUGAGCAGAGCACUGAAGAAUCUAUACCAAAUAGGUAUUGUUAUGGCUGACAAGCAGACUAGGUUUCUCAGUAGUUAUCCCUCAAUGGUUACUCUAAAGGAGGACUCAAUUUCAAUAGGGGUUGCAUUGGGUAAUUUGGCCAGGAUGUCAGCCGGUAUUCAUUAUGCAUUGAUUUUUGCAAGAUGAGAUGAAACAGCUGUGAAACUAGUUACCAAGAAAAUGUAUUACUCAGGAAAUCUAAGGUGUCAUCCUUCAUAAAUGUCUCAUACUCUAACAUCACGUGGAUUUGCUCACACUUCAAAUAAAUUAUGUAACUUGUUCUUUUCCAAAAGAUUUCAAAAACAGACCAGUGGAGGCAACAAAAGACAAGCCAUGCCAAGCAAAACUGCAUUACCCUUUUAGGUCUUGUUUUCAGAAGAUUAGUCUCAAAACCAGUGGCUGGCUGCUGCAAAUAGAGGCUUCAAGCGUGAGCUGAUUUUAUCCUUGGCCCUGUGAGGUUGACUUGUAUACAGUUCCAUGUGGAUUGUGGAUAAAUCCCUACAAAGAAGGAUAUUGCAAGAAAUCGGAAAUUUAUAAAAGUGGCUACUGUCAGAGAGGUAUAUAUUAACCUAUGUCUAGAUAUGCUUUUGAUUUUCUUUUCCCCUAGCAAUCAAUCAAUGUAUCGCGAUCCAUAGACCAGAAAAUUUUCCCCUAGCAGACUGAUUUACAUAGACGGCCAUGUGGAUUGUGGGUAAAUCCCUACUUAGGAGGUUAUUUGAAGAAAUCCAAAGUGUAUAAAAGUGACUAAUAUCAAAGAGGUAUGUAUCAACUCCUAUUUAGAUGUUUUUACUCCCUUAUUAGGAUGUUAGAUAUACAGUUAAGGUGACUCUAUUUAAAAGUCUUCUGUCUGGAAGAUUUUCCUCUCAAAAGAGACUUGUGCAGACAGGUUGAAAGUUGCUCUUACAAUAAGUGAUGUAGGGACAUAGGAGCUGAAGUCCUAUGGUCAGGGUGAAGUGCUGGUAACCUCUCCCCUGUAGCCUCCAAAGAAAGAGGAGAACUUUCUGCAACUGGAAGAAAAAAGAUGAAGUCUGAAGAAAAGAUUCACUGUGGAAGGAGCGGUCCGCUUGCCAUGGACUGUGAUGUUUUCUUGCUCCACGUUAUUGAUAGCCAGUUUAGUUUAUUGUUACCUUUAAAUUAUUGUUCUGUGUGUGAGCAUUCUGUGCAUUCAGUAUUUCUGUAAAGCCUUUGUGUAGAACCCGGGUUCUUAUUUUUGUAAUGUAUUUUAAAUGUCUGGAAAAUU